UUGCCAGCCCGCUCAGAAACUCAAAGGAAUUGACGGGGCCCGCACAAGCGGUGGAGUAUGUGGUUUAAUUCGAUGCAACGCGAGACUACCUGGUCUUGACAUCCCGGAGACCCUUAGGAAACUAGGGGGUGCUUCCAUCUGGAAGAAUCUGGAGACAGGUGCUGCAUGGCUGUCGUCAGCUCGUGUCGUGAGAUGUUGGGUUAAGUCCCGCAACGAGCGCAACCCUUGCCUUUAGUUGCCAGCAGUUCGGCUGGGCACUCUAAAGGGACUGCCGGUGUUAAACCGGAGGAAGGUGGGGAUGACGUCAAGUCCUCAUGGCCUUUAUGACCAGGGCUACACACGUACUACAAUGGCCGAUACAAAGGGCAGCGACACUGCGAGGUGAAGCCAAUCCCGUAAAAUCGGUCUCAGUCCAGAUUGGAGUCUGCAACUCGACUCCAUGAAGUUGGAAUCGCUAGUAAUCGUGGAUCAGCAUGCCACGGUGAAUACGUUCCCGGGCCUU
rnacentral:rRNA from 1 species